UCUACGUAGCAACAGCAGCAACAGAGAGGGGCAGAUUUCAAUGUCAAGGUGGAAGCUCACGGCCAAGGACUUUGGAAGUGGGGGCCCGCAUUGCAGUCACUCUUUGACCAUCUCACCGACAACAUCAGAGUUGUACUUUACGACGUCAGAAGUUGGAAAAAGCCCAUUAAACAAGAUCCUUUACACGGAUGAUACCAGAUGGACAGUUCGUAUUGAGCCCUGAUACGACACACGGCGAAGCGGUGAUAAAGAGUGAGUACGAACAUUUCGCCUUAUCGUUGAAAGCCACUUCCACUCCGACCGGAAAGUAUUGCUGGUUUUAAUCUAACGCGCUUCGCAAGACGGGGGGUCCGCCGAUCCCUCUUCCUGUCGAUAUGCGCAUCCAAUUUUGAUUAUAUUUAUCGACUGGAGUCACUAACGAAAAUGGGAAAACUUUAUGAGAACGGUUCCUGAACAUAACAUUCCGAGACAGAACUGUUCGCUUAUAUUCCCAACAUGAAUUUGAAUUGCAAGUUAAGAAAAUUAAAUUUUUUUUCAUUUAGUCAGAUAAUAUUUCCGAAAGCAAUAUAUUUUGGUCUUAUAAAAAUGGUUUAUUUUUAAUUAGUACAUAUUGAAUUGCAUGUUCAAACGAAUAAUUCGUUAAAUUUUACAACAUAAAAGAAAUUAUCAAGCUUUCAUUUUUGGC